GACUGUGAAAGGAGAUGAAAUGACUGCCAAAAACUGUUCCUGUGAUAGGCUACAGAGGCAGCAUUAGUCAGUAAUUAUGGCACGAGGCUGGUACUCAAGAGACUUUUGUGUCUUAUCUGCCCAGCUCUGAGUGGUGAUAAGAGGACUCUUCAAUUUCCACAAAGUGGUACUGGGGACAAGUACUCAGCUUGCCUGGUGGGGAAUCACCAUAACUGGAUCAUCCAUACUCCUCCAACCUGAUCAGUGAUUUCCUGGGCAUAUUUGUAGGUAGAUGAGGUAGAGCCUGCUGAAUUGCUUCCUUUCAGAUAUCACAAAUGUCUUGCCAUGGAAAGGAACACGCCUUUCAGACAAGAGUUCAUGUGCAUUCAGGUGGUCACUGGACAUGUCACCAGGUACAUCUCUGCUGCACUACAGAGUGGCUAUCAACAGUGUGCUCUGUAGCCCCAUCCCUUCUGUCUGCAGGGCUGGCUGCUCAAAUCCUGAUGCACUGCACGUGGGAUUCAUCUGCCUUUAGCUUUUGACAUGGCGAAUUAAUCAUCAGAGUGCAAGCACAUCACCUCAAGCUCUCUGUGUAGCUAAUGGAGAGAAAUAGACACCUCCAGAAGGCAACUCAUCUCAUCCAUCUUAGGCAUCCUCUAUGGGAAGAUGAAAUGAACUGCCUUCUGGAGGGGCCCAUUUCUCUCCACUGAGUCAGAGGGGAGCCCAGGGUGACUUGCUUAGAUAAAGAUGAUUAACGUUUAGAUAUGUACAGUGAAGUGAAAUGAAUCUCACUUCUUUAGAGUAAUUCUGGUAGCCAUGACCUAGUGGAGAUUGAGAACCUACUGAGGCUUUUCUGCAUAUCCUCUAUAAUCUUAGCUGGGGGCAAACCUGAGCUGUUUUGCAGUUUUCUAGCAAAUAAAAGCAGUGCUGAUCAGUCAGGUUAAUCCCAGGGCAGUAAGACGAUGUUAAUCUAGGAGGGAAUAGAGAAAUGUUGUUCAAGCAGGUUCCAGAGGUGCCAUUUUGUACUGGCAGGUGGCUGCUCCCAUCUACUUGUCCAUCUUUACGUGGUGGCUGGCUGCUCAGAAACAGGUGUUUACAGAACCACUCUUGUCUAUGCUCUUGUUCAGCACCAGGGUGAUUCAAAACCGAUUUUAAGGGCUCUUGCCACUCUCUCUGAAGCACCUUGUGCUGGCUACGAUGAGAUGUUUUAAGAGAGACUCACCAGACUCACUGUAGUCCUUUUUAGUAAUUUUCUCAAAGCUGCCUCUUUCUGAGCUCUGCGUGACACCCUGUUACCUUUCUAAGGAGAUAAUUCCCUUUGAAAAAUUAUCUGUUGUGCUGUCAGUAACCAGUAAUCCGCUGCACUGCAAUUACUUCUCACAAGAAAAUUAACAAAACAGCAUCCUCAUUUUAUUCGGAUUAUUAACUUCUGCAGUUAACAGUUGAGAGAUGAUACCAAAAAUACUAGAUGUAAAUAAUGUAUCAUUUUAUGUUUGAGCUUCUCAGAAAUAUUCUCAGGUUUAUGUUUUUCAUGGGUGGUCCCUAGCCAUUAGUAGGAUCCUGAGGUACAAACAAAUGCAAUUCCUGCAGAGAAAAGCAGAGCUGCCCCUUUAAAAAAUGCUGUCCUAAUAAAUCUACUGAAAUUCAGAACUUGGCAGAAUCAUACUCCUCAGCAAGAAGGAGUCAAUUGGUCAUUAGUUUGCAGUUGUUCUCGGGUUCUUCCUUGUCUGCAUGUAGGAAGGACGAGAGAACAAGAGCAAACUAGCAGACUAGAUGAGCUGUCUACAGUACUGCAGCCUCAGACACCCUGGAGCUGUGAUGUGCUGCUUGGUGCUGUCAGUGGAGACUCUCAGUGUCAGCUCAGCAGCGAGGGCCAGUCUGGGAGCACGGCCCAGAGGUCAGAGCACCAACCCACUGACAUCCAGCAGAUAAAGUGUUAAUGGGCACAGCAGCUUCUGGCUCUGCUGUGCUGGGGCUAAGUCUGUUUGUGACUUGUUUAUUUGUACAGUGCUCAAAAUAAUCAUGUGUUCUCUUAUGUGUGUACUUUACUUGGGGUGUGUUCUUUCCAUCUCUCUCAGCAGCACUGGUAAGUGUUCAGCAAAUGUCCCUCUCACGCACUCCAUCAUUCUCCCUCAGUUAUUUGGCAGGCAUAUUUAGCAGGAUGCUGUCUUGUAGCACCUCCUCAGCCUCAGUAGCUCGUUCUUGCACAGGCAGUUCAUUUACUGCUCACAGCUUGUAUGGAAUCUGCUUUGGUUGGUGCUUCAGCGGCGUCUUAAUGUGAUUUAUCCCAACCAGUGCUGCACCAAGGCUGAUGUUCGUCACAGGCUUGGGGCUCGAUUAGAGCCAGUCUGGUUGGCACUGUGCUCUACAGCACUCAAGCUUCAACUCCACUGAAUCUCACCUUCUGAGAUGUGGUGUCUGCAAGGUGUCUGUCACAUCCUGCCUCAGCCCAGCUUCCCUGGGACAAUGGUGCUGCAGUGCCUUUUGGCCAGGCACUGUGCACUGCCUGAGGACUGCUCUUCUGUCACAAGGCUGAGGGCUCAGAUCGCCCAGAGAUGAUGUGUGAAGAUGCUGCGUGUUGACCGAAUAAGUUGUGUUCACUUCUGCUGGUUGUUUUCGAGGGUUUCCUAGGAGAGAUGGGAAGUUGGUGAACCAUUAUAUGUUUUCCUGGCAUAUGUAUUUGGAAGAAGAUGUUAAAAAAAUGUAAAUGUGGUUAAGGGGCUUCAAAACUCCCUAAAAUGUACCUCCAGUUUUGAUUCUCAAUGGUAUACUCACUAUUGGUACAAGAGUUGUUGUGGGCUCCUGUCUGGACUGGAUAAAAGACCCCAGUGUUGAUUAAACUGUGAUCAAAUACAAAACAGACUAUUCUUGACAGAGAACUACGUACUUCU